rnacentral:tRNA from 1 species
UCCUGGUGGCUCAGAGGUUAAAGCGUCUGCCUCCAAUGCAGGAGACCCACGUUGAAUUCCUGGGUCAGGAA